UCUCUCUUGUUCUUUUAGCCGAAUUCGUCCUUCAUCCCCUUCUUUUUCUCGCUUCAUCCCCUUCUUUCUCUCUAGAUACCAUUCCCAUAUUUCUCUCAUCCUCUUCUUCCUCUCGCUUCAUCCCCUUUUUUCUCUCUAGAUACUCUUCUGUCGUUCGUUUGCAUCAGUCUUAUGAUGGUGUCCCCUUGGUGCUUCAAAUUUUUCUCAUCAAAGUAGUUGAUUUGCAUUAGAUUUCAAGAUGGUGGGUCCAUUGGAAGGAGACAUGCAUUCAGUGGCUUGUAUACAAGAAACCGUAUUUCCCUCCCUAACUGCAAAUCAGACAAAAUAAAGCAAGUUCUGUGAGUAACAGGUAAUAAACAACCUAGUAGUGCAAUGGAUUUUGAAUUGCGUAAAUGUGCCAACAUCUCCAGGGGUGACAAAUUUUUGGAUGGUGCCUUCAAAGACAAACUUCUGUCUCAGCGUCAUUUAUGGUUAACAUCUAUAUAUUCAAGUGAUAAGAUGGAGAAAGUGGACAUAUUGUCAACCUUGGUAGAAGUUGCUCUGGAAAGAGGGCAAUGCUACAACAAUUAUUGCAUAUGGAUCACUUAGAGGAUUUCUUGAAAGCUCUAAUUGGCAAGCAACAACGAACAAUAAGGGUGGAACAUAGAAGAUAUUGAUGCCUUCUCGAAUACCUUUAGGGUUGGUAGAGUUGAUCGUAUAAAAAUCAAAGAUGUCACAUAUUUUGGAUUAUAAAUUUUUGUUCUGUUUAUUUUGUAUUUGGGUGAGGAGGAACUAAUUUGAUUAUUUGAAAAUUGUGGAAGUGUAACACGUCUAAUAUUCUUAGGUAGAUUUAGUUGAAUACUUUAUUUUGUAAUGUGUUAUCAGAUUUUAAAAUUUCAAUUAUGAAUAGAAGUCUCUUGA